AAUCCACCUGCCCCAACUGCAGCAACAGCUGCAAUCUCUUCCUCUAUCUUGUGCUUGUGUGCAUGCUCUGGGUCCUUCUUUGCCUUGUGUUUCUCAUGUAAGGCCAAAGCACCAGCAGCAACAGCACCAAGUUCACCAAUCUUCUCGAGAUGGCUGUGGUGCUUCACUUCUUUUUCAUAAUCAACUGGUCCACCCUCAUCCUCCUUGUUCUUGUGGUGGAACAAAUGGUGAUGGUGUUGGUGUUUCUCUUCAGCCAUAUUGUAUUGCUUCUCUUAAAUUAAUGUCAAUUCACAGAUAUUUUCAUCUCCAAAAUG
rnacentral:misc_RNA from 1 species